ACUUCGGGCUUGCCCGAGAUUGGAAUGAGUACAACGUACAAUCUUUAACGAGUACCAACUGGAGGGCAAGUCUGGUGCCAGCAGCCGCGGUAAUUCCAGCUCCAGUAGCGUAUACUAAAGUUGUUGCAGUUAAAAAGCUCGUAGUUGAAUUACUGUGUAGUGUACUUGCGGUCUCCGGACCAAUAUAUACUGCACAUCCAUCUGAACAGCACUUCUUGUCAUUCAUUUGUCGGUUGUGUGAUCAGAUACUUUACCUUGAGAAAAAUAGAGUGUUCCAAGCAGGCGUCCGCCUGAAUAAUAAAGCAUGGAAUAAUACAAUAGGACUGGGUUCUAUUGGUGCAUAGAACUUAGUAAUGAUUAAUAGGGACAGUUGGGGGCAUUUGUAUUUAAUUGUCAGAGGUGAAAUUCUUUGAUUUAUUAAAGACAAACCUAUGCGAAAGCAUUUGCCAAGGAUGUUUUCAUUAAUCAAGAACGAAAGUUAAGGGAUCGAAGACGAUCAGAUACCGUCGUAGUCUUAACCAUAAACUAUGCCGACUAGAGAUUGGAGGUGCAAUCUCAAUACUCCUUCAGCAUCUUAGGAGAAAUCAAAGUCUUUGGGUUCUGGGGGUAGUAUGGUCGCAAGACUGAAACUUAAAGGAAUUGACGGAAGGGCACCACAAGGUGUGGAGCCUGCGGCUUAAUUUGACCCAACACGGGGAAACUUACCAGGUCCAGACAUGGGAAGGAUUGACAGAUUGGAGAUCUUUCUUGAUUCCAUGGAUGGUGGUGCAUGGCCGUUCUUAGUUGGUGGAGUGAUUUGUCAGGUUAAUUCCGAUAACGAACGAGACCUCAACCUGCUAACUGGUUGCAGCUUCUUUCAAGUUGUAGACUUCUUAGAGGGACUAUAGGAUUUAACCUAAGGAAGUUUGAGGCAAUAACAGGUCUGUGAUGCCCUUAGAUGUCCUGGGCCGCACGCGCGCUACACUGAUGCAGGCACUAAGUCUCCAAUUUCGAAAGAUUUUGGGAACCUUCAAACUGCAUCGUGCUGGGGAUUGACACUUGUAAUUAUUUGUCAUCAACGAGGAAUACCUAGUAAGCGCAAGUCAUCAGCUUGCACUGAUUACGUCCCUGCCCUUUGUACACACCGCCCGUCGCUCCUACCGAUUGGGUGAUGCGGUGAGCCUUUCGGACGGGCGCUUCGGCGCCUGAAAGUUAUGCAAAUCUCAUCACUUAGAGGAAGGAGAAGUC
rnacentral:rRNA from 1 species